GACGAACGCUGGCGGCGGGCUUAACACAUGCAAGUCGAACGGAAAGGCCCUGCUUUUGUGGGGUGCUCGAGUGGCGAACGGGUGAGUAACACGUGAGUAACCUGCCCUGGACUGUGGGAUAACUUCAGGAAACUGGGGCUAAUACCGGAUAGGAGCUCCUGCUGCAUGGUGGGGGUUGGAACGUUUCGGCGGUUGGGGAUUGACGGGCGGCUUAUCAGCUUGUUGGUGGGGUAGUGGCUUACCAAGGCUUUGACGGGUAGCCGGCCUGAGAGGGUGACCGGCCACAUUGGGACUGAGAGACGGCGCAGACUGCUACGGGAGGCAGCAGUGGGGAAUAUUGUACAAUGGGCGGAAGCCUGAUGCAGCAACGCCGCGUGCGGGAUGACGGCCUUCGGGGUGUAAACCGCUUUCGCCUGUGACGAAGCGUGAGUGACGGUAAUGGGUAAAGAAGCACCGGCUAACUACGUG
rnacentral:rRNA from 1 species